ACAGCCUUCAUUUCAGUCAACAACCACAUAACAGAUCAUCAAAAUACAUAAAGCAAAAACUGACAGAACUAAAGUUAAAUAUACAUAUCUACAAUUAUGUAGAGAAUAACAAACAAAAAAAUAGAACAAAAAUGUUCCACGCCUUGGUCAAUGGUACCACCAGCCAGCGAGGUUCCCAAGCCAAGAACUUCGGAAGCAUCCGUGAUUCUUCAUCUUCCACAUCCACUUUAUCACCGGAAGCACGCAUUCAACUUUCUAAACAUCCCUCAGACUGACCCACAUCUUUCUAUCCACUUUUCACAUCUUGCUUGAAUGACUUCCCCAGGCCCAGCCAGUCUCCCGCCUCCAGCUCCGCCCCCUUCUGACUCCCUUUAUGUGGUACAAUCAGAGAGCCCUUCCCAAAGCACAAAUCUGCUUUCACUGCUUUGCUUCAAGCCCUUUCGUGGCUCCUAUUUCCAGCUGGAUGAGGUCCAAGCCUCUUAACGUGCUGUACGUGUACAUGCCUGACCCCCGCUACUUGACCAGCCAAGUUUCUUCAUAGCGCUGUGUCUUUGUUCCUCCUGCCUAGAAUGUCCUUCCCCUUUUCUCUCGCUUCAUGGUGUGCCAAACUCCUAUCCUGUGAGAUCCAGCUUACACGUCAGCUUCCCCGUGAUGCUUUUCCUAACUCCCUAUUCAGCCAGUGAAGUGCUCCCUGCGUUCCCAUGUGGCUUGUAUCUCUGUAAAAGCUCCACAGAGCUGUUUUAAUUUAUCCGUUAAUGUACAUGUCUUCCCCACUAGACUUUUGCUCCUUAAAGUAUCUCCUUCAUCUCUGCUUUGCAUAACCUAACAGAGUUCAACACAUAGGAGUGUCUUAAUAAAUGCUGAAUAAAAUAAUUAAUAAACAA
rnacentral:lncRNA from 1 species